rnacentral:tRNA from 1 species
GCCUCGGUAGCGUAGUGGUCAAGACGCUCGCCUGGUAAUCAGGAGGGCGUGGGUUCGAUCCCAGCCGAGGCA